UACGGGGGGGCAAGCGUUGUUCGGAAUUACUGGGCAUAAAGGGCUCGUAGGCGGCCAACUAAGUCAGACGUGAAAUCCCUCGGCUUAACCGGGGAACUGCAUCUGAUACUGGAUGGCUUGAGUUCGGGAGAGGGAUGCGGAAUUCCAGGUGUAGCGGUGAAAUGCGUAGAUAUCUGGAGGAACACCGGUGGCGAAGGCGGCAUCCUGGACCCGGCACUGACGCUGAGGAGCGAAAGCCAGGGAGCAACG
rnacentral:rRNA from 1 species